rnacentral:rRNA from 1 species
GUGCCAGCAGCCGCGGUAAUACGUAGGGUGCAAGCGUUGUCCGGAAUUACUGGGCGUAAAGAGCUCGUAGGUGGUUUGUUACGUCGUCUGUGAAUUCCACAGCUUAACUGUGGGCAUGCAGGCGAUACGGGCUGACUUGAGUACUGUAGGGGUAACUGGAAUUCCUGGUGUAGCGGUGAAAUGCGCAGAUAUCAGGAGGAACACCGAUGGCGAAGGCAGGUUACUGGGCAGUCACUGACGCUGAGGAGCGAAAGCAUGGGUAGCAA